rnacentral:lncRNA from 1 species
GAGAAGGCCAGUGGUGGUAGUGCCUGUCCAAGCUUGAGCCUAAGAAUCUGGAGGGCAGAUCCCUCUGCAGGGAGAAGAUGGGUCUCAGCUCAAGUAGAGAGUGAACUCACCAUUCCUGUAUCUUUUUGUUCCAUUAAGGCCUUCAGUAGACUGAAUGAUGCUGGCCUGACCUGUUGAGGAUGAAUUCUGCUUAGCCUUUGCUGAUUCAAAGGAUAGACUCAUCUGAAAAUAUCCUAACAUAUUCCCAGAGAUAUUUUACCAGUGAUGUGGGCAUCCUUAGCUCGGUUUAGAUGGCUCAUAAAAGCAAUCACGACAAUGAUAUAAAAGGAAACAUUUUUUAAUAGAUAUUAAAUUAGGAAAAAAAAUCCGUAAAGCAGAUAACUAGACAUCAACGAUCCUAAAGUUGGUGGUAUGAACUGAUGAUUUAUCUCUGUUAAACUUCUAGCCUUGAUGGUGGGAAGAAAUCUACACCACCGAAUGUUCAUUUCACAAUGAGGUACAAAACAGAAAAGGAAAAAAAAAAUCUUGUUUCUCUCACAUUCAUACCUCACUUUCAAGGCUCAAAAUAAAAAUGAUUUGGCUGGCUUCAUAUGGAAGAAGGUGUAGUUCUGAUGACUCAGUGCAGGCUUUGGAUUAAACUCAGCUGCUUCCGGACUCUAGAAAAGGAGCCCCAUCUAAGCUUUGCAGUUCUGUGUUCUCUGAAGAUGGGAUGCCAAGCGCUCAAGUUUCCUACAGAAACUGUGUGAAUUCCAUCAGUUAAAAGUGUGCCCAAAACUAUGGCUCUCGAAUGAAGCACAGAAGGGCCUGUUCAACUCCACUGUUGGAUGUCACAGAACUAUCUAAGAGGUCCCUGGGGAUGAAAAGCAAGCACUCAGUUGCUGAUGAGGAGAGCGUGUGGAGGGGACACCAGAGCAUCUCUAAAACACGUCGAAGAUGGAAGGAAAAUAAGAACCUUGAAGAUCCUUUUAGGAUUUCCCCAGUGAACACAGAUAUACAUCUGAUAAUUUUGAUUUUUGUCUACUGACUGCAGA